ACAGGCACUUGGCACCCUUGUGAUGUCAUACAGAGAAGUCACAGGGCAGUACCCCAGGGUCUGU
rfam:Rattus norvegicus methionine adenosyltransferase II, alpha, mRNA (cDNA clone MGC:72314 IMAGE:5622019), complete cds.